rnacentral:rRNA from 1 species
GCAUUAGCUAGUUGGUAAGGUAACGGCUUACCAAGGCAACGAUGCAUAGCCGACCUGAGAGGGUGAUCGGCCACACUGGAACUGAGACACGGUCCAGACUCCUACGGGAGGCAGCAGUAGGGAAUCUUCCGCAAUGGGCGAAAGCCUGACGGAGCAACGCCGCGUGAGUGAUGAAGGUCUUCGGAUCGUAAAACUCUGUUAUUAGGGAAGAACAUAUGUGUAAGUAACUGUGCACAUCUUGACGGUACCUAAUCAGAAAGCCACGGCUAACUACGUGCCAGCAGCCGCGGUAAUACGUAGGUGGCAAGCGUUAUCCGGAAUUAUUGGGCGUAAAGCGCGCGUAGGCGGUUUUUUAAGUCUGAUGUGAAAGCCCACGGCUCAACCGUGGAGGGUCAUUGGAAACUGGAAAACUUGAGUGCAGAAGAGGAAAGUGGAAUUCCAUGUGUAGCGGUGAAAUGCGCAGAGAUAUGGAGGAACACCAGUGGCGAAGGCGACU